AGUGAACGCUGGCGGUAGGCCUAACACAUGCAAGUCGAACGGCAGCACAGUAAGAGCUUGCUCUUACGGGUGGCGAGUGGCGGACGGGUGAGGAAUACAUCGGAAUCUACUUUUUCGUGGGGGAUAACGUAGGGAAACUUACGCUAAUACCGCAUACGACCUACGGGUGAAAGCAGGGGAUCUUCGGACCUUGCGCGAUUGAAUGAGCCGAUGUCGGAUUAGCUAGUUGGCGGGGUAAAGGCCCACCAAGGCGACGAUCCGUGGCUGGUCUGAGAGGAUGAUCGGCCACACUGGAACGGAGACACGGUCCAGACUCCUACGGGAGGCAGCAGUGGGGAAUAUUGGACAAUGGGCGCAAGCCUGAUCCAGCCAUACCGCGUGGGAGAAGAAGGCCUUCGGGUUGUAAAGCCCUUUUGUUGGGAAAGAAAAGCAGCAGGUUAAUACCCCGCUGUUCUGACGGUACCCAAAGAAUAAGCACCGGCUAACUUCGUG
rnacentral:rRNA from 1 species